rnacentral:lncRNA from 1 species
UUCAUUCAACCAAUAUCUGUGUGAUUACUAUACACCAGGAACUGUGCUCAUCAUAGGGAGUGAAACAGUGAGUGACGAUAUUUCAGCCAGCAUGGAGCUUACAGUCAAGUUAAGGAUAUAGACCUUAGGCAAAUAAUCACAUAAAUAAAUAUUAAUUUAUAAACUUGAACAUCUAAGAUGAGAUAAAUGAUGCUGUGAGAGAAUAUAACAGCAGUAAAUGUCCUUAUCCAAGAUUUCUGUGAAUAAAUAAUGAAGAAAUUAUAAAUUAAAAUUACUGUCUGGUUCUCUCUUCUAUGGAUUCUUGAAUCCUCUUCCCCUGUAAAAUUGCAUACAAAUUUUAUGUAACUAUGUAUUAUUCUAGUAACAGAUUUGCAAAGGGUCCAUGACCCCAAAUUUUGCACAAUGUCAAUCCUGUAGAAAGCAAUGCCAUGUAUAUUAACUGCCUCCUACAUAUGCCUUAUCUAUAGAUCCCUGUUUAUAGAAUUAUUAGCAUUUUUCUUUUGAAUCUCAUAUCGUUUAGUUUAGUGUUAGACAUAGGCUCAUCACUUAACAAAUGUUUUUCUCCCCAUUUUCAGCCUAAGUAUCUUUUUAGGAACUCAGACUCUCAAAAACAAAUUUUAAAAAUGACUUUCUUUAUUGAAUAAAAAAGAGUCUUUUUUGCAGUUGUAGGUAGAGUGAAAAUGAUUAUCUGGGUUUUGUUUAGGUACCGGGAAAACAGGAACAAAAAGGGAUUUGCAUGUUAAAACCUGCUCUUGCUAGGCUAGUGCCCAGCAAUUGUCGCUACAUUUCUUCGGAGCUCUGUUUCUUCAAUGACCUAGCACUUUAAUUCUGGGAACUCCCUGCUGCUUCCCCAUGCCCAAACCUUAGCUAUCCUUAUAUGUUAACAGGUAAAAGCAGAAAAUAUUCAUUUCAUACACACAAAAAAAAACAAAAGCUGAUUACUUAAUCAAUUAUUCUGACCAAUUUAAAAGAAAAACAGAAUGGAAAAUUAAAAUUUCAUUUCAAAUGCCACUGGGAAAUAUUUGUGACUAAGUAUAUAUACACAUUGAAAGUAAAUGUUAUAUAUGUAGACUAAAAAACAAACAUGUAUUUAUAUUUACUAGAAGUAAAUAUGCUUUCAAUAUGUAUAUUUAUAAAUGCAUUUUAUGUUACAGAUAAAUGUAUAUAGGCCACAAUUUCUAACUGACAUCAAUACCUUUAGAAAAUAAUAAAAUAAAUAAGAUUAUACCAGAUACCAAUAUAUUUCUAAGGUAUUGUUAAAAAGGUAAUAAUUUGAACAACUUGUACUUGAAUCUCAGGUCCGAAAGACCUGAAGUAAUUGUGCGAAAUAUACAUAAAAAAAAAUCACAGAAAAAUAUUAAUACAAUAAUUAAAUUGUUUAAUCAAGGGGCACAAAAAGCUUCAAGUUAAUUCAACUACUCAAUAUCUAUCAAAGAUCAAAAAGGGAAAAAGACAUAUAAUUCCAUAUUCUCAUUUCACACUUUCUUAAACUUCAAGAUCUGAGUCUCAAAGAGAGGUUGUUACUGGGAUAUGCUGAACAGAUGACACCAUAUGCGUACAUCAAUAUUUUAAUAGACUUCCAUUCUUGAAUGGUCCAGAGACCAAACACCAAAUUUUAAAAAUUUAUUUCCUUUUCCCAUAGGCUGACAACUCUUUUGCCCCUGUACUCCUGUUUAGCACUUCCACAACAGGUAUGCAGAUAAAGGGAGAGGAAGUUAGAUACAAAUACUGUUGGUACUUAAUAACAAUUCAGGUAUAAAGUUUGAUAUAGUAAUUUAAAUCCAUAGUUCAUCCUCAAAGAAAGACUGGAAUUAUGGGUCCUUAUUGAUGGCCUUCCUUUUUUGUUAGCAUAUAUGACAAAUGUAUGCUAAGUGGUAUAUGUUAGAAACUCAGUCUCAGAGAUGACUUUAAGAAGGUAGCACUAGAUACAAAAUUACUUUCCGUACAGGGAAUGAUGACAAGGAUUGAAAGAGUAUAAGGUAAUCUAAUUUUGUCAUCUAUUGCUUUUACUUUUUAGGAUUUGAAGCUGAGAUCAAAGUUUCCUAAUAUUCUGUCCUUCCAGGAACGUCAUACUUCCACAGACACUGUCAAAAAUUCUCAUGCCAACUUUACUCUUUCUUCUGCUGAUUCAGUGCAAGUAAAGGAAAAAUGAUUUUAAUGUAAACAUGGAUGAUUUUGAUUUAGCUCCCAUUUUUAAGUAAAUAAAGCAUCUUAAUUAUUAAGGGCAAAUUAUCUGUUACCCACUUUAUGAGUAAUGAAGACUGACCAAUAUGUUGAUAUUCCUAAGUGGACAGUUGCUGGACACAAACAAUUAACACUAACUUGCCUAUUCUAAUCAAAGAACUAAAGAACUGAAAAAUGAAAUAGUAAUUAGCCAUUUAGUUCUAUAUUGUACAACUCCUCUGUCUGGGAGCUCUCACAUGCAAUGAAAGGCUACUCUAAUUUUUCUUUCCUUACCUACUGACACUUUUAGCCAGGGUGAGGAGGAUGAAGGCAGCAGUAACUAUAGAAGAAAGGAGAUAGGCUGAUAAAUAUGGUGGGGGAGGUUUCACAUGUGUAUUAUACGUAUCAUGUGAUUGUGGAUGAAUGCCACAGCAGAAAUAAUGUCAAGAGGCCAGGAAAAUGGCAGCCACACUAUCCCCUAGAAGGCUCAAUGAGCUGUCACUGACCAGAAACAAUUCACUGAAAGCAGUGGGAUAGGACUUAAAUGUUUUUACUUCACUUCGCUGUCAGCCCAAGCACAGAAUUUUUCAAAUGUGAUUCAUACUUGGGUUGCUUUCAUUAUGCAAAUAAAACAACCCAAGAAUUUUUCACUAACAAAGGAUUUUUUAAUUGGCAUAGUAAAUCCUUCCCCCACCACUGCACUCCCUCCUCCUCACCACUACCACCACCCUUAAGCCAAUGCACUCCUCCAAUGACUUUGAUUAAGCCUUUUGUAGAAUUAUGAACUUGGAGAGCUUUUUAAAGGAGAAAGAGAUUGAACGCCAGGUGGGACUUAGCCAGAGCUGUCACAGCUCUGGUUGUUACCCCUCAUAAUCCAUCUUGUUGAAUCAAAAAGCAAACUGUGAACAAACAGCUUAGGCAGUUUGUUUGAAGAUACACUCCUGUCUUUCUAGGAGGGAUUAAGUCAUGGCUACAGUUUGUUUGGAAAAUGAUUAUCCACAUGAAAAUUAUUAAAUUCAUGUGGCAGCUCUUUGAGCCAAAACAACUUUUCACCUCUGUAUCAUGGUGACAGUAAUGCUGUAGUUUCUAUACCAAAACACAGACCUUUCCACAGGCUUUCAAAAUGUUGUCCCUUUUUUUUGCAUUUGCCACAAGAAUACAGAAGACGUUGGCUUUCAAACUUUUAAAUAAUAAGGAUUCGAGCUCUGCCUUUAAAGAGGAAUCAUAGCAAUACCAGAUGUAGAGAAAAGGGGAUUAUUUUCAACAUUUAUUCCAAACACUGGGCUCCAUAAAAGCUACAUUCAUGCCCUGCAGCAACAGGGGAGACAGAUUAGGUGGUUGAGAGCCUGAGCAAGAAAGGAAGAAUAAAGGCAACUCUGUGAUACAUCAGAAGUAAAGUGUUUUUUCCCUUAGAGUGUAGAAUAGAAUGAUGUUAAAAUUUUGUUGUGGUAAAUGAAUCUAAACCUUGGAAUGCAGUAUAAUCUCUUUAAAUACCUAAGUAAUCACCCUCUUUUAUAUCAUCAAAUAUUGCAUUUUUGAUAUUCAAGGUAUUUUGGUAUUCAGGCUAACUCCUGAAUUAAGGUGAGUAGGAGGAGGGGUAGGGGGGUGGUUAUUCAACAAACACUAAAUGUUUGCUAUGUAUCAGGCAACAUGGCAGGUCUUGGAUAAAAAGGCUUAAUAUUAAACACUGGCCCUCUCUUCUUGCACUCAUAGUCUAGUAAGAGAGACAGACGUGUAAACAAUAGAUUACUAUCCACUGUGAUAAAGAACACAAUAGAAGGGUAACCAUUAUAUUGAAUAAGCGAACUCCAUAGGAUACAGGCAAUAAAAUACCCAAACAAACAACUUCAUUCAUUCCCCUUGAAAACCCUUUAUAAACAAUCUGCAGACACACUUUUUUCUCUUGUUCUUCAAAGAAAAUGCUGGGUGACGGAAGGUCCCAUAAUUUUCUUAGACAUUCUUCUUUAAGUAACCUGUAGUGCCAAGAAUAAUCUAGCUAGUAAUUAAAAUGUCUAGUCCAGUUUAAUAAUCAAAACAUCAGUUUCAUUUAAAGGUAAAACUUCUUUCCUACACCAACUGGUAGUUGUUUCAGGCUAGGAGACUUAAAAUGGAGGAGAAGGGUAUGGUCUUCUUUCUCUCUAUUUCUGCCCUUGCAUUUUCUUACCCAUCCAACUUCCAUCCCCACACACAAAAUCACUUCUGCUUUGGUCAGAGAUGGUACUAGGCAAAGAGAGGAGAAGGAAGCAUCAGUCUUAACUUGACUAGCAUUAUUAGAAUUUGAACAAAGUAAAUUCUUCACCUAAUAAGGAAUAUCUAUUCCACAAAAUUAAUGGAACACCAAUUACAUUUUAAGCACUGUUAUGAACACCGAGGACACAUAAUUUAAAAAAAAAAAAUCAAAGCCCCUGAUUUCAUGGACAUUAUAGUCUAGUAGAAGCUAUAAGUCAACAUGCAAUAUGUUUAAUAUAUAUGUUACAUACUAAGUUGUAUGUAAAAUAAAAUGUUAAUUAUGUAUAAAAUAUGCCAGAUGGUAACAAGUGCUAUAGAAAAAAAAUUAAACAGCAAAAGGCAGUAAGCAGCAUGAAAAGUUAGAUGUAUUUUACUGAGGGAAAUCAGAAGAGCUUUUUCUAAUAAGGUGAUAUUUGAGCAGAGAUCCAAAAAUCACAGAAGGAUUUAAGCCAAGAAAAUAUCAGAGUAAAGAGCAUUCCAGCCUGAGAGAAUAAUAACUACAAAGGCCCUGAGGUAGGCAAAUGCUUAGGAUUUUCAAAGAACAGCAAGAAGGCCAGUAGUAUGGCUACAGCAGAACAAGCAAAGGAAAGAAAGUUGGAAAUGAGGCCUCAGAAACAGAAGAAACUUAGAUAAACGUAAUGUAUGCAGAGGCAUACUGACUUUUUUCUGAGUUAAAAAAAGGACCUCUUGGAUGUUUUUGAGCAGAGAAGUAAAAUAAUAGAAUGUAUUAUUUUAAACAUAUCAAUCUAGCUUCAAGGAGGAGAAUAGAAGGUAAGGCAUUGGAAUAGGAAGACAACUGAAAGAUUACUAGAAAAAUUUAGGCAAGAGAUAAUGGUGGCUUGAACCACAAAGACUGAGUAGGAAUUAAACAAAAUGCAUUAGACAGAUUCUGGAUAUACUACAAAAGAUUUAACAAUGGACAAAUUAUGAGAAUGAGAUGAAAAAUAAAAAGUCAAAGCUAACUGCAAAGUUUGUGACCUGAGAAACUCUAAGAAGGAAUAUGACUCAUAGAAAUAGGGGGAAAUGUGAGAAGGUAAGGUUUAAUUUAAAAAAGCAAGU